rnacentral:rRNA from 1 species
AUUGAACGCUGGCGGCAGGCCUAACACAUGCAAGUCGAGCGAGCGGCGGACGGGUGAGUAAUGUAUGGGGACUGCCCGAUAGAGGGGGAUAACUCCUGGACACGGUAGCUAAUACCGCAUACUAUCGGAUAACCCAUAUGGGAUUAGCUAGUAGGUGAGGUAAUGGCUCACCUAGGCGACGAUACCUAUCUGGUUUGAGAGGACGACCAGCCACACUGGGACUGAGACACGGCCCAGACUCCUACGGAGGCAGCAGUGGGGAAUUUUGGACAAGGGGGAAAACCCUGAUCCAGCCAUCCCGCGUGUAUGAUGAAGGCCUUCGGGUUGUAAAGUACUUUUGGCAGAGAAGCGGUAUCUGCAGAAUAAGCACCGGCUAACUACGUGCCAGCCGCCGCGGUAAUAC